CGUCCGCGAGGCUCCCGGGCCCGCCGGCGUCUGUGGGGAACUGGGGCGCUGGUCGGUGCGCGGGCUGGGACGCUAAGUCAUGAGGAAUUAAACUGGGAAACCUGGCGUGGGUCCAGGCGCCUUCCAGGAGGCAUCCGGCGCGGCCCGGACGUGCUUCUACCCAGAACCACCCCCUCCAGGCCGGGGUGCACUUAACGGGGCUAUACAAAGAGUCUGGUGGGUGACUGUGGGCCUCAUCCCUAUCCCGGGGUCUGAUAGGGAAGACUCUCGGGCCCCGCAGGGAAUAUCUGGCUAGUGCACCCUCGGCGGGAGCGCCACUCUCCCUCCUUGGGCGGCGCCCCCCACCUCUCAUCCCGCCCAAUCCGUUUUGCAAAGUCGGCCAAAACAAAAACAAACUUGGAGCGCUGAUAGACACUGUUAUUGCCCAUCUGAACUCGUCAACUGAGAAGGAAAGAGAUGGUUUAUGCUGUGAAUAAAAUACAGUUGUGCUGUGAUGUAAAUCCCCUCAUCCUGGAGCAGCUGAGCAAGGUCUAAGGCAGGAAGAACCUUCAAGCAGGUCAUGGCUUGCAGGCUCAACUCUGCCUGGCAGUGGCAAGGGCCAGGGCCAGUGACUGAAGCAACAAACUGCCAGAUGACUGCAGCUCAAGCCAAUGCACAAAGCCACUGCAACAAGAGAGGAAAUUCUUCCAUUUCCAAGUGUGUCGAUUUCUCCCCAUCAAGGAAAACAGCUAAGGCAAUGUGUUGAUAUUUUCUUUGACCAAGUCAUCAGGAGUCACAUAGACAUACAGCACUCAAGAAGUGGCUGUAACUAAAGGCACAUCUCGUUCAUCUACAACCCUUGUAAUCCCAACCUUUGUCUGAUGCACAAACCCUUCCCUAGUUCUCCCCACCACCACCACUGCACCUCCAAGUGGGGACAACGAAUUGUUUCAUUUGCAUGUGGUUUUUCUCAUGAAAAAUAUCAUUAACAUGAGACAGCCCCAAACCAAGGAAACCAGAAGUGGGGUUUGUGCUUGGUCUUACUGAGAGCUUUCCCUACUUGACCAGACCCCAGCAUUGUUCUAGAUUUGUCUCUUGUGGGCUACAGGAAUGCAAACAUUUUGUAGUUUCCUCUUUUUUGUUUUCUUAAUGGCUUGAUGAGCCACACAUGUUUCUCUAAAUGCAUGAUUUUAAAUUCACACAA
rnacentral:lncRNA from 1 species